rnacentral:rRNA from 1 species
UACGUAGGGUGCGAGCGUUAAUCGGAAUUACUGGGCGUAAAGCGUGCGUAGGCGGUUCGUUAAGUCUGCUGUGAAAGCCCCGGGCUCAACCUGGGAAUGGCAGUGGAUACUGGCGAGCUAGAGUGUGAUAGAGGAUGGUGGAAUUCCCGGUGUAGCGGUGAAAUGCGUAGAGAUCGGGAGGAACAUCAGUGGCGAAGGCGGCCAUCUGGAUCAACACUGACGCUGAGGCACGAAAGCGUGGGGAGCAAACAGG